rnacentral:tRNA from 1 species
GCCGGGGUGCCCGAGUGGCCUAAGGGGUCGGGCUGCAGUGGCGUAUAGGCCUCCGCCUGUCGAUACCCGAUCUUUCCCGGGUUCGAAUCCCGGCCCCGGCU